rnacentral:rRNA from 1 species
GUGAGGAAUAUUGGACAAUGGGCGCAAGCCUGAUCCAGCCAUGCCGCGUGCAGGAAGACGCAUCUAUGGUGUGUAAACUGCUUUUGUACGGGAAGAAACACUCCCUCGUGAGGGAGCUUGACGGUACCGUAAGAAUAAGGAUCGGCUAACUCCGUGCCAGCAGCCGCGGUAAUACGGAGGAUCCAAGCGUUAUCCGGAAUCAUCGGGUUUAAAGGGUCCGUAGGCGGUUUAAUAAGUCAGUGGUGAAAGCCCAUCGCUCAACGAUGGAACGGCCAUUGAUACUGUUAGACUUGAAUUACAAGGAAGUAACUAGAAUAUGUAGUGUAGCGGUGAAAUGCUUAGAUAUUACAUGGAAUACCAAUUGCGAAGGCAGGUUACUACUUGUGGAUUGACGCUGAUGGACGAAAGCGUGGGGAGCGAACAGGAUUAGAUACCCUAGUAGUCC